UACAGAGGUCUCGAGCGUUAGGCGGAAUCACUGGGCUUAAAGCGUGUGUAGGCGGGUCGUUAAGUACCUUGUGAAAUCCCAUGGCUCAACCAUGGAACUGCUGGGUAUACUGGCGAUCGUUGUGGCAACCUAGGGGCGAGCGGAAACGAUGGUGGAGCGGUGAAAUGCGAUAGAUAUCAUCUGGACGCCAAUGGUGAAAACAGCUCGCUGGGGGUUUGCAGACGCUGAGACGACGAAAAGCCAGGGG
rnacentral:rRNA from 1 species